UACGAAGGGGGGCUAGCGUUGCUCGGAAUCACUGGGCGUAAAGGGUGCGUAGGCGGAUUUCUAAGUCAGGGGUGAAAGCCUGAGGCUCAACCUCAGAACUGCCUUGAUACUGGAAGUCUUUGAGACCGGAAGAGGUAAGUGGAACUGCGAGUGUAGAGGUGAAAUUCGUAGAUAUCGCAAGAACACCAGUCGGCGAAGGCGGCUUACUGGUCCGGUUCGUGCACGCUGAGGCACGAAAGCGUGGGGAGCAAACAGG
rnacentral:rRNA from 1 species